rnacentral:rRNA from 1 species
AUUGAACGCUGGCGGCAUGCCUUACACAUGCAAGUCGAACGGCAGCGCGGGCUUCGGCCUGGCGGCGAGUGGCGAACGGGUGAGUAAUACAUCGGAACGUGCCCUAGAGUGGGGGAUAACUAGUCGAAAGAUUAGCUAAUACCGCAUACGAUCUCAGGAUGAAAGUGGGGGACCGCAAGGCCUCAUGCUCCUGGAGCGGCCGACGUCUGAUUAGCUUGUUGGUGGGGUAACGGCCCACCAAGGCGACGAUCAGUAGCUGGUCUGAGAGGACGGCCAGCCACACUGGGACUGAGACACGGCCCAGACUCCUACGGGAGGCAGCAGUGGGGAAUUUUGGACAAUGGGGGAAACCCUGAUCCAGCAAUGCCGCGUGUGUGAAGAAGGCCUUCGGGUUGUAAAGCACUUUUGUCAGGAACGAAACGGUGGGGGCUAAUACCUUCUGCUAAUGACGGUACCUGAAGAAUAAGCACCGGCUAACUACGUGCCAGCCGCCGCGGUAA